rnacentral:lncRNA from 10 species
CGACCUGUCCUCGAGGUUUUGAUUAACACAGAAGAUUGCCACGCCGAAGGUGCAGCUCUUCUUAUGGAGAUAGCAGAGACACAAGAGACCAAGCUCAACUACACAAGCAUAUUUCAUGUCUCUGCUUACGUCACAUCUGUCAUUAUCCCAUUGGCCAAGGUAAAAAGAGAAGACACAAAUUAUCUAACAGGCACAGUGGCUCACGCCUGUAAUCUGAGCAUUUUGGGAGGCCUGGGCAGGUGGAUCACUUGAGCCCAGGAGUUCGACAGCCACUUGAACAACAUGGCAAAACCCUGU